rnacentral:rRNA from 1 species
UACGUAGGUGGCAAGCGUUGUCCGGAUUUACUGGGCGUAAAGAGCGCGCAGGCGGUCGAUCAAGUCGCGUGUGAAAGCCCCCGGCUCAACUGGGGAGGGUCACGCGAUACUGUUCGACUCGAAGGCAGGAGAGGGAAGUGGAAGUUCCCGGUGUUAGUGGUGAAAUGACGUAGAUAUCGGGAGGAACACCAGUGGCGAAGGCGACUUCCUGGCCUGUUCUUGACGCUGAGGCGCGAAAGCUAGGGUAGCAAACGGG